rnacentral:lncRNA from 1 species
UACAUUGAAGCAGGCCAUUUGUAUAACUUGUGGGUCAACACUAGCUCCGGGCCUUGUUGGGGCUGCCACCACUGCCGGAGCUCGUGCGGGUCGCUGCCGGAGCUCGUGCGGGUCGCUGCCUUCGCUCUGGUUCUUCCACAGCAUCGCGGAUGGCAGGAGGUGCGGCCGCUCGUUCUGCGUGCCGAACAACACGGAGCGGCACAUGUCCCGGUACGACAGCGUGGUGCCCGACGCGGCCACCCGGGGGAACCGCUCCCGCACCCGCUCCCGCUGCUCGAAGUAGUCGAUGAAGCCCUUGCAGAUGAGGUCCCGCUGGUGCACGUACAGGUUCGGCACCCACGGCGACAGCUGCUCGAACUGCUCCUCCAUGUUUUUCUUGUGGGGCUUGAGAACUUUCCCCAGCCCGUGCUUCAGGAUGUAGCUAGAGGUGUGCAGACCCCUCUUCGCCACCCCUGCCAUGGGCAGGUUGUCAUUGAUCACCGCGGCCGGCGACACCUGCGGCGGGUUGAAUAGGAAGGUCGGGAGGUUCAGCUUCCUAUUAUUGGCCAUAAUAUCACGCCCCACGUCCAGCGCUAUGGACGCGCCAAGCGAAUGCCCCGCGAGCCACACCGCGGGGCUGCCGGCUCCCGGUGGCGUCGCCUCCCGGACGGAGUCCAGGAAAUUCCUGACCUCUUCGCGCGCAUGGCUGAAGCGGCCGCAGCUGUGGUGUGCGUUGAGCAGGAUUCUGAGGUCGAGGCGCAUAUCGCCCAGAGUUGUGGCAUCCCGCCGCAUAGUGCCCCGGAAGGCAACGAUGUAGCUUGGAGCCGACGGGUGGCGGCGCGAGCCGUCCGGUGGCACGUACUCGAAGAUGGCCCCGUAGAUGAAGCCCUGGCUUCUGCCUGCAACGAUGUGCCGGCCAAUCUUGCACAAGGCGCAUUCGCACUCACACUCAAGCACGCGAAAGGGAAGCCGGCCGAAGUGGAAGCUCUCCCACCACGCCGGCGCGAGCGCAUUGGCAGGUUCCUGCCUCCCGUUGGUUCGAUCGCUCUCCAGGACGUAGGUGCCCUUAACAAGACAGGCGGUGAUGCACCGGCGAUGCUCCUCGUUGUCCCUGAAACCACGAAAUGCGCUCGGUUGAUGGCCAUUGGAUUUCAGGAUAUAUCAACUAAGGGCUGUGUUUGUGAUAUAUCUAUAUAUAUAUAUAUAUAUAUAUAUAUAUAUAUAUAUAUAUAUAUAUAUAUAUAUAUAUAUAUAUAUACACACUAACUGCGAUAGUUUCAUCUUGUGUAUGAGUUGGUACAAUUCACAAGUUAUUUCAUACGUGAACCAAAUGAUCCUAACACAUACUAUGAGAUUUUAAUUAAGAGACAGGCAGUGUUGAUACUAAAUAUAAUGUCACUGUAAAAUUUUGAUCCAGUGUAAGGUCACUAUGAGAUAUAAGAGUUUUGCCGAGUGCAAAAACACUCGACAAAUAGUCCUCGGCAAAAAAUUUAAACGGCAAAAAGCUCACUUUUUACUGAAUGUUUUUUAUCGGGCACUCGAUACACGUUGCGAGUGACCAAAUCGCUCGGCAAAAAAUUUUCAAAAAAAUAAAAAAAAGCCCCGCUGCCGACACCACGCCGCCGCCACGCUCGCUGCCGCCACCACCAGCACCGCUGCCGCCCCACCCGCACCACCAGUACCGCUGCCGCACCACAACCACGCCGCCGCCACGCACCACACCGCCUGCCGCCGCCACGCACCACGCCGCCCGCCGCCCAGAUCCGGCCGCCACCGGCCGGAUCCGGGAGAGGGAGGGCCGGAUCCGGCCGGGAGAGGGAGGGUCGGGGAAGAAGAAGGGGAGGGAGCGCCGGGGAAGAAGAAGGGGAGGGGAGGGGCGCCGGCGGGGGCCGGCCGCCGGCGGCGGCGGCAGGGAGAGGCGGGGUGCUCGGGUCUGGGAGGGGAGGGGCGCUGGGGCAGGUUAAGUACGGGAUUUUUUCGUUUGCUGAAGUGUCUGGUCACUCGACAAAGUUUUUUUUUAAUUUUUUUCUUCUCCUUUUUCAGAAAAAAGAUUUUAUUUCUUUGGCAAGUGUAAAAAAAUCACUUGGCAAAUGUUUUUAUCGAGUGUUUUUUUACACCUGACGAACCCUCCUCUUUGCCGAGUGUUUUUUUACAUCCGGCAAAUCUCCAUCUCUGCGCUAAAAACACUCAGCAAAGAACAUAUUCACCGAGUGCUCGAGAGAAUACACUCAACGAACAUAAAAAUACUCAUCAAAUUUGACGUUUCCGGUGGUGGGUGCGUACCAGUCUAUCUCAAUUGUCUUGGUCGGAGAAGUGCCGUCGCCAGUUUUUGCCAUCAUAUGUGUCGGCCCUGUGAUGUCGAAUAAUCCCUUGCUUGAAGGCAUGGCUCAGUAUUGCAACCUACUAGCUAGGGAACCGAACCGAAGGCACGCCGGCAAGGCCGAUCUAGACACAGGACUGCAGUAGGCUAUUGCUGGUCGUCUCUGCUUGUUCUUUCGCUUUUGUUGUGAAUGAGCUAGCCCUGUAUAUGCUGUAUAUUUAUAGGCAUAGGGACCGGCUGGUGUGUAUGGUAGAUGCAAUGGCUGUUAUCGCCUCUUGUGCAAGUUGCAACCCAGUUUAUGGCCGUGCCGCUUAAGAAUAAGAGCCCACCAGGAAGCUUGGGUGGUUAGGUAUAUUAUACAUACGGUACAUGUGCAACAACUUGAGGAGCCUGAACUCCUUAUCCCUGAGCUGAGACCCAGUCAAAUGCACGCUUUUGCCACCUAUGUCUACAUUCGGUUGCUCAAAAUUAAAGUUAUUCGUCACUUGUAUAUUAUCGGUGGAUGGUGAAGCCGUUUGUGCCUCGCGAAGAGCAAGACUAAAGCCUGCUGCUGCUGGCUAAUACACACUUGCCAUGCCAUUUAGAGCUAAAAUACAGACAUAGCGUGUGAUGGGUCGGCUAAGAGCCUGUCUAAGAAGUUGGCUUUAUUAAAGAUAGAUAGAGGUACCUAAUGCUUCCAUGUGCAUACAGUCUAAUGUGGACUGCAGAAGGAGAAAAGCAAUAAUUGCAUUAUAGAAAUCACUUAUUUUGGGUAGUGAAAUAACAUUUCAGUGCCAUUAAGUGGAUCUAAGUUUGUAUAAUGUUCAGCCCUUGCCCAGAUCUUAAUUAAUCAACUUGGGGCAUGUCAGUUAAAUCAAACUAGUCUAUCAACCUGCGCUGGCACAAGCUAUAGAAUCUUAGGAGACGGAGUUCCUAGAGAUUCAAUAUGUGCUUGGUUGAAACUUUAUCUUUGGUUGUGUCAUUUCUUGCUGCAACCCAUAUGUCUUGAGUUCAGAAUCUAGAUUUUAGGUCUUAGGUUGCACUUGUGUAACCAUGUGUUUCAGCCUGCACCACAACGCUUGAGAUGUUCAAUUUUCUCUAUCAAAGAACUAUGAUCGUAGCAAUAUAUACACUUUUGAAUGAUAAAUUGAGAAUUUAAUUAGUUAAGACCUACUAGAUCAUCCAAAUUCAGCCUCUGCUGCCUAGCAAGGAUAUGCAGCAGAAUGUGCAAGAAUGUGCCAAUCACUUGUCCACGGGAUUAAAGAUCGAGUCAGGUAUUUUCUUGAUGCCACAGCAAGUCACAAUAUAUCGACAGGGCAACCAGAUGUCCUCUCGCAAUUUUUACUUGUGGCCUACCCUAACUCGCUCUAUGACUUUGUGGACAAGUGAUUGAUACAUUCUUGUACUCUGGCACAUGCCGGUGCUCAUAAAAAUUAGCCGAUAACUUAUAUAUAACGUGGUAAAGGUUAGCUUUGUGUUAUCAAGCAAGUACGAUAUCUAGGAUGACGACGAGAAUAUUAACUUUGUGUUUUUGUCGGAUUUUGAUGGGUGUGGCGAAGAAGUGAGACCGGAGCUGUCUAGGAGGGUUAGACAGGUGUUGUCUGCAAGUUUUGAGUGGGAACGAAGCGAACAGCAGGGAAGGAGUGUUGACGCUCGUUAUGGAUACCUUUUUACCCCUAUUUAUCUUUAAUAAUAACAUGAAUUUAAUACUUAAACUAUUGAUCAUACCUAAUAAACGGGCCAUUUUCACAUAUGCAAUAUAUUUUGGAGGCUAUUCUGUUUUCGUAGGAAAUUGGAUUUUAAUGAAGCAUAAUUGGAUAAAGCCCUGAACAAGCGAUGACCCAGAGAAAGACGAAGGCCAAUGGGCCUAGGUCCAAGCCGAUCGGCCUAGGGUCCUCUGGGCUCCUCUCGUGCUCCUUCUUGGCGAGCAAUCCUCCAGGAUGACUUAAAGGCUAAGUUUGCAAAGAUAUGGUAAGAUGAGUUCAGGAUCAAAGAAGAUCAAGAGGAGAUUUGGAAAGUUGUUUAAGGAUAAAUCUUAUCCCGAAGCUAUUGAUGUGGUAGGCCCACAUACAAGUGAAAAGAAAACUCCAGAACACCUAAGAAGAUUUGGAGAUGAAGGGAUGCGCGAGCGGGCAAAAGGAAGGCCCAGGCCGAUUGGCUUGGACCCACCCAGGCCGAUCGGCCUGGGGUGUUACUUCGCCCCCUCGCCUUCCAAUUUCUACCAAGGGUCCUCCAGACUAUAAAUACCCCUUUCUCCAACGAGGACGCAGAUUCAUUCAAUGCAAUCGACGUGAAGCAGGAGAGAAGUAGAAGGAGCUUGGGGGAUACCACUUCGGAGAGCCGAGGGCAAUGCAGUUGUCUAGGGAUCAGUGUAGCUAAGCCCUAGUCGAUGUAGGAAUCCUACGAUCUAAGUGCUUCCUUCUACGGUUGUAUGCUCUUUCGGGUUUGCUUACUUUUUAAUCUAUGAUCGAUGAUAGAUUGUUUAGGAUGUUUAUGCUGUCGUGGUAAUCGGACAUGCCUGAUCUACCGAUGAGUAUGACAUGUUCUUAUGAUCGUGCCUUUAGAUUACCUAUGCUAAUAGAGAGGAUCGUGACGGGAUCUUUCUUGCGUAAGAUAGGGGUUUUCGGGAGCCAGAUCAGAUGUGUAGAUUUAAAGAUGCUUUUAGCUAAGAUCAUAUUUGUAUUGCUUUGCUAUCCAUGAUCAAAAUUACAACAUAUGCAUAAUCUAGGUUACUCUAAAUUGGUUAUCUCUGCUCUAUCUGUUAUCUGUUUGUAUAUGCUAGAUUAGAUCUGAAUCACUCAUCAACAAAAGGUUCAUCCUAACAAUGCUAGUUGAAAUAGAUCUUGUGUUAUAAGUUCCACGGAUUGAUAAAUUUUGGAGGAAUACUUUGAGGGAAGAGCUAUAAUUGAUCCGUGCGCUUGCGGUUCACAAAUUGACGCUUUAACUGUCGUCAACAAGGAGCCAGUGAUUCAACUUCGUACCACGAGCCACUGACAUCGUCUCGUGAGAUGACGACAGUCUUCUCUCACCGCAACAAGUUGUGUACACGUAGGAUGAAGAAGCUGACGUGUCUAUAGACAGCAGCUAUCUAUGGGUUGUACAUGUUCUAAAUCCCUGCUGAGCAAGGCCAGGCAAGGUGCAGCGAGGGUACCAAGCAGUCCCUUUGUGUGUAUACGAUUGUCUGCGUGCGCAUCACACUAAAUAAGGAAAAAAAAACUCAAUGCACAUGUAGCCAAAAAUAGUAGUCUGAACAAUGUAAAAAAUUAAACCUCUCUCGGCUGACAGAAAGCUAUGCAUAAAGGCGGUAGUUGAUUCUCUUCGUGCAGGUCCUAAGUCCACGUAAGGACUAGGUCAGAGAGGAACUAAAAAGCGGAUCCAAUUAUUAGAAGCCCAUCCAUUAUUUAUGGUCUUGCAUGUUCGUUGCACCUUCACAAAUGGGUUGGAAUUAAUUAUAUGGUGGGAGUACUUGAACUGAAGUCUCUGUCACUGUACCUUGAUUAGGGGCUUAGGGCAAGUAGUGCAGCUAUCAACAGUUCAGCUCGCACAUAUAUAGGAGAGCUGGCUAUUCGAUCAAUAUGAAUCAUGUUGUGUUUGUCUAUCAUAUAUUGACAUUCCGAAGAGAAUUUGUUUCUUACUUGGGAAAAGGGAAGGUCAACGGGGCACACCGACUGGCUAGAACCGGCUUUGAUCAUGUGAUGGCUGGCAGCUGGUCCAGCUGCAUCAUGACCAAGUCAUUCGUCCCGUAAACGUUUUAAAACUGCUCUUGGCACGAACAAGUUACCAAUUUAUAAGCAUUUGUCCACCAGCCAUAGCACCUUCAGGUUAACUCUUUAUCACGAAGCGAGGAUGAAAAUGUAAGCAUGAUGCUAUGUAUACGCGUGCCUGCCCCUUGGAAGGGCUGGGCAGUGCGGCUUUGAAAGACGGGGUGUUACAAAGUGACAGGGAAGAAAACAAUACUCCCUCUAUUUCAAAUCAUAAGUUGUGUUGGUGAUUAGAUUAGCCCAAGUAGCGAAGGGUCCGUGGACCUCUUUCUAGAAAACCCUUCUCAGCCGGAGGACAGCACCCCCUCCCUCUCGCCGAGGGAGGUCCUAGCAGGCGCAUCCUCACAUCAUCCUCGGAUAUCCAUGUUCAUAUCCCUUGUGUGCCUUCACUUAGGUCGGAACGAAACCGUUUCCUUUUGAGGGCUUCCAGAGAUAGGAAGGGAGACUCUCGUUCUCGAAGACCUUCUGAGGGAACGGGGCUCCGACUCUAUGAGACUUCCAAGUCUUCUGGAGGACCCGCUCCUCGAUGGCUGCUCCCCCCCCCCCCCCCACCCACAAGUUGUUUUGUUCUAAAUCAACUUUUUUAGUUUUGUUCAAUUUAUAGAAAAAUUUAAAAAAAUGAUGAAAAUUAGAUAAGUUGGCUUCAAGAUAAAGCUAAAACCAUCUAAUAGUUUUAAAUGGAGAUAUACAUUGUGGCAGAGGUGUGAGAGAUUGAGGCGACGUGGAUCCUUGCUUUAUAUAUAGGGGAGGGGAGCUGUCGGCACAAGGUCAGCACUAGGACAUGUAAGAAGUGAUUACGUGCAUGUAAGUGCUUCUCUAUCACUCUUAAAUUUUAUAAGUAUGAAGUGAUACCGAGCGGGAAGUGAAUCAAAACCCAAGGUGUGCUUUGAUCGAAGUCAACCAAGCCUGAUUUAAGUUUCGCCUCUUAUAUGCUACUCCCUCUCUCUUUACAAUGCACAUCCUGUUUCAAUAAGAUAAAAGUUUUGACCAAAAAUUAUUUUUUACUGAUAGUUCAAUUACACGAUACAAACUAUAAUCAUAAGUAAGUACACUUUUAAUAUAAAUAUAUCGAUACCAAGUUUGUAUCACAAAAUUAUAUAUUAAUAGAUUUUGUUACAUAAGUAGAGUAUGUGUUUGUCAAAUGCUUAUUAUAGUCAAACAAAAUAAACCUUAUAAAUGGAAACAGCACGAGUUGCACUGCUAGUGCUAGAUCGCAGCUCGCCUGUGCAAUGGUUGGUUUGUGGCCUCCUUGGGAUAGCUUAUAUAGUUAGGUAGCAUGGGCUGCCGAGGCCUCGCUCAGCCCAAUUGCUAUCAAUAAUGCAAUUAUACGAUAUAAACUAUAAUCAUAAGAAAGUACUAUUGAUAUAAAUAUAUCAAUACCAUGUUUGUAUCACAAAAUUAUAUAUCAAUAGAUUUUUUUACAUAAGCAGAGUAUGUGUUUGUCAAAAGCUUAUUAUAGUCAAACGAAAUAAACCUUAUAAAUAGGGGCUGCUGGAUCGCAAUUCGGACGUGCAAUGGUUGGUAGUGGGCCUCCUCGAGGUGGGCUAGCUAGCUUAGUGAGGUGGCUUGGGCUGCCGAGGUAUGGCUCAGCCCAAUUGCAAGCAAGAGAAAUUAUUUUUGCCCUGCAAUUCAUUCAAAAGAAGCUCACAUACUCUUCUAAAAACAAAAUUAAAUCACAUAAAAAUUUUAAAAUGAAACACUUUUAUCUACUUUUGAAUAUAAUAUUUUAUUUUCUCCUAAAGGUUAUUAAACAAUUUUAAAGUUACUUUUGGCUUCAUUUUUAGCAUUACUUUCCUACUAAAUUUAGGGAUUAAUAAUCAAGGCUGCAAUCACAAUUAUUAUUUCAAUAUAAUUCAUACCUUGCUCGGAAAGGAAAACCGAUAUUACAGAGGUGAGCAUAUGUACCCAUAUGCAAGUACAUUUUCUGUAACCACCCUCUCAUGCACCUACAUUCAAGCAGGCCAUUUGUAUGAGUUGUGGCUCAACACUAGCUCCGGGCCUUGGGGCUGCCACCACUGCCGGAGCUCGUGCGGGUCGCCGCCUGCGCUCUGGUUCUUCCACAGCAUCGCGGAUGGCAGGAGGUGCGGCCGCUCGUUCUGCAUGCCGGACACGGAGCGGCACAUGUCCCGGUACGACAGCGUGGUGCCCGACGCGGCCACCCGGGGGAACCGCCCCUGCACCCGCUCCCGCUGCUCGAAGUAGUCGAUGAAGCCCUUGCAGAUG